rnacentral:lncRNA from 1 species
AGAUCAAAGGUACUUAUUAGAAGUGGUUAAAUGAUCGUAUCAUCAUGUGGUGUUAUUGAGAGCAUCGAAGAAUAUGAAUUUAGUUGUAAAUUCGAUGAUGCUCAAGUGGGAGGAAUCCUUCAAAUAUUGAAGAAGUUCUUUUGCAUCUCUGAAGAUAUAUCUUCAGUGGGACAAUAAUCCUUUGAGAAAGAAAAAGAAGGUACAAGACAGUCGUGCUUGGGCUGAUAAGCCCAAACUGACAAAAAAGUAUAAGGUUAACCUAGUCUGGCAGAAUCUCUUGAUCCGAAUAGGCUAAGAAAGAGAAAUCAGUAAAGGAUUGUUGGACAAGGUACUUAUAUGAUAACACCUUAUGAUUUUUCUAUCAUGACACUACUACGGGGUAUUGGAUAUCGAAAGUUCAUGCAAAUUGUUGCAACAACUUCAGAUUAGUAGAAAGAUUGAAAACAGCAAG